GUGGGGAAUAUUGGACAAUGGGCGCAAGCCUGAUCCAGCCAUGCCGCGUGAGUGAUGAAGGUCUUAGGAUUGUAAAGCUCUUUCACCGGUGAAGAUAAUGACGGUAACCGGAGAAGAAGCCCCGGCUAACUUCGUGCCAGCAGCCGCGGUAAUACGAAGGGGGCUAGCGUUGUUCGGAAUUACUGGGCGUAAAGCGCACGUAGGCGGAUAUUUAAGUCAGGGGUGAAAUCCCAGAGCUCAACUCUGGAACUGCCUUUGAUACUGGGUAUCUUGAGUAUGGAAGAGGUGAGUGGAAUUCCGAGUGUAGAGGUGAAAUUCGUAGAUAGUCGGAGGAACACCAGUGGCGAAGGCGGCUCACUGGUCCAUUACUGACGCUGAGGUGCGAAAGCGUGGGGAGCAAACAGGAUUAGAAACCCGAGUAGUCC
rnacentral:rRNA from 1 species